AUUGAACGCUGGCGGAAUGCUUUACACAUGCAAGUCGAACGGCAGCACGGACUUCGGUCUGGUGGCGAGUGGCGAACGGGUGAGUAAUGUAUCGGAACGUGCCCAGUCGUGGGGGAUAACGUAGUGAAAAUUACGCUAAUACCGCAUACGAUCUAUGGAUGAAAGCGGGGGAUCGCAAGACCUCGCGCGAUUGGAGCGGCCGAUAUCAGAUUAGGUAGUUGGUGGGGUAAAGGCCCACCAAGCCAACGAUCUGUAGCUGGUCCGAGAGGACGACCAGCCACACUGGAACUGGGACACGGUCCAGACUCCUACGGGAGGCAGCAGUGGGGAAUUUUGGACAAUGGGCGAAAGCCUGAUCCAGCCAUUCCGCGUGCAGGAUGAAGGCCCUCGGGUUGUAAACUGCUUUUGUACAGAACGAAAAGGUUUCUACUAAUACUAGGAGCUCAUGACGGUACUGUACGAAUAAGCACCGGCUAACUACGUGCCAGCAGCCGCCGUAA
rnacentral:rRNA from 1 species